rnacentral:rRNA from 1 species
GAUGAACGCUGGCGGCGUGCCUAAUACAUGCAAGUCGAGCGAACAGACGACGUGCUUGCUCCUCUGACGUUAGCGGCGGACGGGUGAGUAAAACGUGGAUAACCUACCUAUAAGACUGGGAUAACUUCGGGAAACCGGUGCUAAUACCGGAUAAUAUAUUCAACCGCAUGGUUCAAUAGUUUAAGACGGUUUUGCUGUAACUUAUAGAUGGAUCCGGGCGGCAUUAGUUGGUUGGUAGGGUAACGGCUUACCAGGGCGACGGUGCGUAGCCGACCUGAGAGGGUGAACGCCCCCACUGGAACUGAGACACGGUCCAGGCUCCUAGGGGAGGCACCAGUAGGGAAGGGACGGAGAUGGGCGGAAGCCUGACGGAGCGGCGGCGCGUGAGUGCUGAAAGGCUGCGGAUCGUAAGACUCUGUUAUUGGGGAAGAACGAUUGUGUAAGUAACUAUGCACGUCUUGACGGUACCUGAUCAGGAAGCCACGGCUAACUACGUG